rnacentral:rRNA from 1 species
AUACGGAGGGUGCAAGCGUUAUCCGGAAUCAUUGGGUUUAAAGGGUCCGUAGGCGGACUAUUAAGUCAGAGGUGAAAUCCCACAGCUCAACUGUGGAACUGCCUUUGAUACUGGUAGUCUUGAGUUAUAUGGAAGUAGAUAGAAUGUGUAGUGUAGCGGUGAAAUGCAUAGAUAUUACACAGAAUACCGAUUGCGAAGGCAGUCUACUACGUAUAUACUGACGCUAAGGGACGAAAGAGUGGGGAGCGAACAGGAUUAGAUACCCCAGUAGUCC